CCUACGGUGGGCAGCAGUGAGGAAUAUUGGUCAAUGGGCGCGAGACUGAACCAGCCAAGUAGCGGGAAGGAGGACUGCCCUACGGGUGGUAAACUUCUUUUAUAAAGGAAUAAAGUGAGGAACGUGGGCAUUUAGGGAGGGACUUAAUGAAUAAGGAUAGGCGAAAUCCGGGCCAGCAGCCGCGGUAAUACGGAGGAUCCGAGCGUUAUCCGGAUUUGUGGGGUUUAAAGGGAGCGUAGAUGGGUUGUUAAGUCAGUUGUGAAAGUUUUCGGCUCAACCGUAAAAUUGCAAUUGAUACUGGCAGUCUUGAGUACAGUUGAGGUAGGCGGAAUUCGUGGUGUAGCGGUGAAAUGCUUAGAUAUCACGAAGAACUCCGAUUGCGAAGGCAGCUCACUAAACUGCCACUGACAUUGAUGCUCGAAAGUGUGGGUAUCAAACAGGAUUAGAUACCCGAGUAGUC
rnacentral:rRNA from 1 species